rnacentral:tRNA from 1 species
GCGGCUGUGGCGGAACUGGUAGACGCAACGGAUUUAGGUUCCGUCGGGGAAACCCGUGGGGGUUCAAGUCCCUCCAGCCGCACCA